rnacentral:rRNA from 1 species
UGGGGAAUAUUGCACAAUGGGCGCAAGCCUGAUGCAGCCAUGCCGCGUGUAUGAAGAAGGCCUUCGGGUUGUAAAGUACUUUCAGCGGGGAGGAAGGGAGUAAAGUUAAUACCUUUGCUCAUUGACGUUACCCGCAGAAGAAGCACCGGCUAACUCCGUGCCAGCAGCCGCGGUAAUACGGAGGGUGCAAGCGUUAAUCGGAAUUACUGGGCGUAAAGCGCACGCAGGCGGUUUGUUAAGUCAGAUGUGAAAUCCCCGGGCUCAACCUGGGAACUGCAUCUGAUACUGGCAAGCUUGAAUCUCGUAGAGGGGGGUAGAAUUCCAGGUGUAGCGGUGAAAUGCGUAGAGAUCUGGAGGAAUACCGGUGGCGAAGGCGGCCCCCUGGACGAAGACUGACGCUCAGGUGCGAAAGCGUGGGGAGCAAACAGG